CUGAGACCCACCACACCCACUGGCACGCCAUAAAAUGUAUUUCCGUGUCUAUGCUGUCCUUCAAUGCUGGAAAUGUCAUUCACCUAGAUGGAAGGGAAGGUGAGCAGAUAACACUUAUUAAGUCCAUUUUGUACUAGAAAUGGAGUUAACAUUUUUAAUUUACUGUCUUAGUUAACUCCCUUUUUACUUCUUAUUGUGGAAAUUUUUAAACAUACACAAAAUUAAAGAUAAUGACGUAAUGUACCUGCCCUACCCAGUACCCAACCUCUCACAAACCAUCAACCCAUGUCCAAAAUUGUUUAAUCUGUACCCUUCACAGUGGUUAUAAUCUCAAUCCAUCUCUACUUUGGUUAGAGAUGAUAUUUUAAAACAUGAUAUUUCUUCUUUUCCUUCCCAGGCCAAGUCCUUUAACCUCAUGACCAUCCCAUUUCUGAACCCAUACAUUUUCCAGGAACUCUCAGUUUUUCACUGAGAACAGCAAGUGUGGCAAGAAUAAAGAGCACAACAGUUGCCGUGAAGGCCAUCCCCACCACGUGGGUGUUUCCUGAGUGAGAUGACUUGCACACACAGUGCCAGCUCUAGAGAGAAAAGGAAAAGAAGCAACUUACUAAAAAUAUUCCCAAGGCAAAGACAAGGAACUGUGCCUCCACUCCUUCCUUUAGCUUGUAAGUUGCUUUGGGGCCCUGGGUUGCGAUUCUUAACCCACAGUGGAUGUUAAAUAAAUAUUUGAUGGUGUUGAGGGCUUAAGUAAUGGUUUAUGUAAACAUCAAGAGCUGCUGCUCAGAACAUAUUCUCAUGGCACAAUACUAAAUUGACCAGAGAGAUUUCACUGUGGUGUGCCUCAGACUGUAGAAUAUAAGGAAGUCUCAUUAACUUGUCAAGUUGACAGAGUUUGGGAAUUUGUUUUGUUGUUGCAAACCCACUGUUUGCAAAAUGAGUAUUCUCAUAUAUGGUCAGUAGGUCUGUAAAAUAGCACAUGUAAGAAGGGCAAUUUGGCAAUACUCAUUAAAAGCCUUCAAAAUAAUAGUCUUGACUCAGCAAUUUCACUUCUAAGAAUUAAUCGUAAAGAAGCCAUCAUGGAGUUUGUAUGUAAAGAUUUAGCUAUAAGGACAUUGUUUGUAAGAGUAAAAAAUGGGAAGCAACAUAGUUAUCUGACAACAUGGGACUUGUUAAACAGAUUGUGGUACACUCCAGUUGAAUUCCAGGCUGGGCGCGGUGGCUCACGUCUGUAAUCCCAGCACUUUGGGAGGCCUAGGCGGGCAGAUCACCUGAGGUCUGGAGUUCAAGAAGAGCCUAGCCAAUAUGGCAAAACCUCGUCUCUGCUAAAAAUACAAAAAUAAGAAAAAUUAGCCGGGUGUGGUGGUGCGUGCCCGUAGUCCCAGCUACUCAGGAGUCUGAGGCCUGUGAUGGCUUGAACCAGGGAGCCGGAGGUUGCAAUAAGCUGACGUCACACCACUGAACUCCAGCCUGGGCAACAGAACAAGACUCC
rnacentral:lncRNA from 1 species